rnacentral:rRNA from 1 species
CAGGCCUAACACAUGCAAGUCGAGCGGGCCCUUCGGGGUCAGCGGCGGACGGGUGAGUAACGCGUGGGAACGUGCCUUCUGGUCUGGAAUAACCCUGGGAAACUAGGGCUAAUACCGGAUACGCCCUUUUGGGGAAAGGUUUACUGCCGGAAGAUCGGCCCGCGUCUGAUUAGCUAGUUGGUGGGGUAACGGCCUACCAAGGCGACGAUCAGUAGCUGGUCUGAGAGGAUGAUCAGCCACACUGGGACUGAGACACGGCCCAGACUCCUACGGGAGGCAGCAGUGGGGAAUAUUGGACAAUGGGCGCAAGCCUGAUCCAGCCAUGCCGCGUGAGUGAUGAAGGCCUUAGGGUUGUAAAGCUCUUUUAUCCGGGACGAUAAUGACGGUAUCGGAGGAAUAAGCCCCGGCUAACUUCGUGCCAGCAGCCGCGGUAAU